GCAGAUCGUAGGCCUCAGAGUCUGUAGACUCCCACACUAAAGCAAAGAUGAAGUCAAAGACCUCAAUAACACUCCAAGGAGAAUGGCAUAGCUUAUGUGGGCAGACAGCAGAAUGAACGGCCAUCAGCAGAUAAGACAAACAGAGUAACAUCUUCAAAAUGUGUUAGCAGAAUCCACAGUGCCCUGGCAACCUGGCAUCUAACCCAGAAAAAUAAUCCGUAUCAAAUAAUAAUAGUAGCAAACAAACAGAAGAAAACGUCAAAAGACAAAGACCCAAGAGCAACAACAGAACGGACCUGGAGGAAAGAGAGAAUCCGAGUUCUAGAAUUACUUACUGCAUUGUGAGACCACAAUAUCUGAUGGCCAGUAACAGCAACAAGAUCACAUGGGAUGCAGAGGAACAGAGAAUACUGCUCGGAGGAUAAAAACGAGCCAACUGAAGAAGACCUGGUGUUGGCUACACCAGACAAAGGUCUACACAACCGUUUCAAUGGGGCUCGAAAGCUAAUGAAGGGUGUGGAGUGUAUCAAAAACCGCCAUAUGAACAAUACUGAAGUAGCAACCAAAAAACCUAGAAAGGACAACAAAGAGAAAUCCUGGAAGUGAAACAAAAAGAGAAUGAAAGACUGGCCAGAAGGCUUCAAACGCGGAACUGAACCGGCAGAAGACUCUCUGAGAUCAAAACUGGGACUAUGCAAAUGAGUGAAUCUAAAGAAAAGAAAGAAGAAAAGAUGGAAUAAUGGGGAAUAUAGUAUUGGGGACUUGGUGAAAACUCCCCAAAUUUGAUGAAAGAAAGAAACCAUCUAAGAAGCUGAGUUUAAUCCAUGUAGGCAGAACUAUGUCCAAAUGAAAGACGCAUGUUAUAACCAAGCUAUUGGAAGACAAAGAUAAGAUGACUUAAAAUCAGUAAGAGAGAAAUUAAGACAGAUAAGAGGGGCCCACCUCUCCUUUGUGGCACUGGAAUAGGAGUGAAGUACUAUUAAGGCACUAUUGAAUUCUGUUAAAGUUAAUCGUAAGACUUUAUCACAAGCAUUCCUUUGAAUGUUGUAAAGGAUCACACAGAAACACAGAGCCGAUCAAGGAUUGCCCACAGAGGGGAGAGGAGCGCUGUGGGAAGAUGGGGUAAUGGCAGGCCACUGUCAAUGAAUACAAGGUUUCUUCUGGGGAGUUUAAAACGUACACCCCAGUCCUGUUCUCCAAACCCCAGAUACCCACAUCCGUCCAGCCCAGAAUCUUUGCAGAUGUUGUUCCCACUGGGUACCAGGUUCCCUGCCUCCAGCUCCGCGGUGGUCUCCUGACCCUCCUCAUCCUUCCGACUUCAGCUUAGACUCCCCUGGAAGGCUCCCAGGCCCUCAGGAAAAUAAGUUUCACAUUAUCGAAGCAAACGGAAUGUGCAAAUCUCACAAAGUUCUUGCGAGAAAUCUCUGCCCAGAAACAGUGCCAGCUUGCUGCUUAAUGAUAUUAUUAUCCCUGGGAACAGAGGAGCUGGACGGCUGUACCCACUGAACAGAGGCAGUGACAUUGACAACGGAUGUCACUCCAGCCUGCCUCUAACAGAUGCCUGCCUGUUCUGAAGCAGACACCUGGAUGUUUGUGACCCUUCCCUACCUGCGUGUCAGGAAGAGGAGGAGGCCAGGACAGACCUACACCAACAGGGGGUCCUAAGCAAGGGUCUGAAAUGAGAGGUUGAUCAGCUACUGCUGCUAAAGCCUGCAGAGAAAGAAAAGGAACUAAGUGGCUGGCGCCUGCCUCGGGCGGGAGGCGACAGUCAGCAGUUUCUAAGCAACAUUGCCAGGAGUUUACAACCUAAAGAGAAAAGCAUGACAAGAGUGACCAGUGAUGGGACGAGAGACCAGUGACCAGUGACGAGAGGUAAACUCCUAUCCUCAUGGUUCUGAGGGCUGAAGGGGAAGCAGUCCUGGAGUGGAGAGGCUUCGAACACUAUACCGCAGAGGAGGCUGGUUCGCCUGCCCUCAGCAGCCUGGAACCUUGGAUUUGGGACAGCUCAACUUGCAUGCUUCAUGCAGCAGCUGUGCUCUGACCUGAGGGAAGAAACAGGGCCCAAACCGGAGUGGCCCAGCGCAGGAACGCAGCCCCCGGGGUCCAGCCAUCUGAAAAACAGGCUGAAGGACCCUCACAUCAUGAACCACUCCACACAGCCACCCCCUCGGAGGGAAACUCACUCAGGCAUGGCCAUCUCGACAUUGCUAUGCGCUUUACCUCGUGUUAAAAUUCUGAACGUUCACAUUGUUGAAACAACACUGGGAGAGAGAAAGUGUGUUUGUGGGGGUCUAAGUGUUUUACAGCGGCAAAGUUAGCUAAGUUAGAAAACUAAUCAUGCCGCAGCUAAGCACCAUGAGGCUGGGACCAUGGACAGAGUGUGACCCAGACCCUCACCCAGCAGAACUGGUAUCCAGUGUUGUUAUCUGCAAGAACUCCUCUGAGGAUGAGACACGAGAGCAGAGGACUCAAACAGGAGCAUCACGGACCACUGGAAAUAGUGUGUAGCAAGAGAGUGAAGGGCCAGGCUUCAGCACGGAGGACAGAAAUCGAGGUCCAUAACAUUCCGGGACUCGGUCCACUCACCGAUGCAGCGCUUCCGGCACGCCUCCAAGCUGCUGUGUGUACCACUGCUCAGCCCCCUGCCUGCUGCUGUUAACUGGGAGACCUAAGAGAGGGCGUCAGGAAUCAUUCUGUUUAGUAAUUCUACCUGUGGGAUAAAGGCACAGCUCAGUGGAGACACUGUAAGUGGCUGUAAGCACUUACAAUAAGGGGUAAGUCUUUCUUCCCCAAACACAAAUAUACCAACCAUGUCCAACAGUCGCAUCAGGAUUAACCUCAGCCUCCGAGAGAAUGUUCUAUAUGCUGCCUCAGUUGUGGUCCGGCUGCUUUACAUCUCAGUCCUGGAAAUGUGACUUUGUCUGACCUCGGGCAGAGCUCCUAGCCCCUUGGCACCCAGAAUGACACCCAUAAAACAGAAACAAUGCCUCAGGUACCAGCAUGGCAGCGUGACUGCCCUAAUGUCAAAGAUGUGGGCAAGGGUGGAACAAUCCUAUUAUGUGCCUGAGAAAGCAGCCGUGAUUUAUUUUAAAGAAUCCUGGAGGAGGU
rnacentral:lncRNA from 1 species